GGGGGUGCACUGGCUUCGACGGGGGUUGCGAAAUUACCUGGUGCAUGCCGAGGGGGCAGCUUUCCUCGUUAAUCCAGCGGCAAAACUCUAGUUGCCAACGACGACAACUACGCUCUCGCCGCUUAAGGCGUAAGCCCCGAAACUACUUGUGUCCGUGUUCGUAGCGUAGGGUCAUUAUCACGGAAUCGCCGGGAGUGGUUGCCUGUCAGCGCCCGGUCAACCUGAAACAGGCUGGUCCCAAGGUGCGCUUUGCUCGCCGUGCUGCCUGGGGACGAGAUCCAACGGUGGGAUAAGCAUGUAGUACCGGGGAUGGAGUGCCUUCGGACGGGGGUUCAAUUCCCCCCACCUCCACCA
rfam:Pseudoxanthomonas indica strain P15 genome assembly, contig: Ga0138986_12